UUGCCACAUCAGUUUAAUUUGCGAAUACCAAAGUUUCGAUAGGAGUUUCACCCCUGUAAAACUACUCUGUAGUUCUGAUAAGAGUUUCAGCUGGUUUUACAUCUGUUAAAAUACUCUGUGGUGUAUAUUAACAUUUCUCAAAGUUGGAGUAAACUGGGUUGUGGUUUGGUGAAUGGUGUUGUGAUCAAUUUUGUGGUUAUUUGGACGAAAAAAAUUGCUUAAAAAUGAUGCAAUUUAUGCUAUUGUUCAGUCGUCAAGGAAAGUUGCGUUUGCAAAAGUGGUAUGUGGCCCAUCCUGAUAAAUUAAAAAAAAAAAUUACACGAGAAUUAAUUACUACAAUAUUGGCAAGAAAGCCCAAAAUGUCAAGUUUCUUAGAAUGGAAGGAUGUUAAAGUUGUCUACAAAAGGUAUGCGAGUUUAUAUUUCUGUUGUGCAAUAGAACAGAAUGACAAUGAAUUACUUACCUUAGAAAUCAUACACCGCUAUGUUGAAUUGUUGGACAAGUACUUUGGAAGUGUAUGCGAAUUAGAUAUAAUUUUCAAUUUUGAAAAAGCAUACUUCAUCUUAGAUGAAUUAUUGGUUGGCGGCGAAAUUCAGGAGACUAGCAAAAAGAACGUGUUGAAAGCCAUAGCAGCUCAGGAUUUACUACAGGAGCUUUGUGUAUCCAUACAAGUAUACAUAUACUCAGUUAUAUGAAAAGGGUUCAGUUCACCAUUUGAAGCUGCAUCACGGAGGUUACUUAAUUACGAAGUAGGAGGAAACUCCACAGGGAUUCUUUGAGGACCACGGUUUGGGAUAAUACUUUCUAGACAAUAUAUCGGACUUAACGUAAGUGGUUCUUGUGUCACAACUCCAACAUUCCAGAAUUACAUUUACUAUAAACUAUGUUGACUAUAGUUAAGAGUAUAGUACUGCACAGAUCUUAAUAAAUAAGGAUUAGUUUUUCAUAUUAAAUUUAUGCUUAUAUACAAUGACCAGAAAUGGAAUUUUAUUAUGCUGUUCUCUCUCAAUAACGGGGUUGAAAUGGAUACCACGAGAAUAAAUAAUUAUAACUACUUUUUGAAAACCAAUGAAAUUUAGUAUUUCGUACAUACCGAAGUAUAGAUGCUUCUUCACAUUGUUGAAAUACCAGCAGUACUAUGCUACAUAUAUACUACAUGUUUUUCCAUGAUAACGUUAUUUAACCCUCUGUAUAUCAAAAUGCCAGUGAAUUUGUUGUAACUAAUUCUAGUAUUUAUAUUCCAGUCUCGUAUAUUUUAAUCGCAGUUACCUUUGCAUUUUAAGGAUUAAACUAUUUACUGUUAAACAUUGUACGUACAAUACUUCAAAUAAUAUUGCAAUAAGAACAAUAAUAUUAUGAUGCAAUAUAAUUUUUAAGCAACAUAAUCCUCAAUUAUACAAUAGCGUUUUGUAACAUGAAUGAAUAAACCAGAAUCACAACUGUAUACUGCACCAUAAAUUUUUGUCGAAAUAAUUAAGAAUUUAAAAAUUAGUCGUACAUUAAAGUUGAUGCAUAAAGGGUUAAAUAAUGAAUGUUCGAUAAUAUUAUUAUAUACAUAUGUAAGGUGCUUAUUGAAUUUUCACUUACACUUAGUUACUUUGUUAAACCAAACUACAUAUAAGUAUUACAAAACUUACCGCAUUUAAUUAAUCGUUAAUCACUAGUUAUAUUUUUACAUCUUGUGUAUAAAUAGUUAUUAGUCACCUCAAGAUUAACAUUUUUACGCGUAUUGCUCAAAAGCAACUGUAUCAUACAAAUACAAGCGAACUAAAAUUAAAAGAAGUAUAAAACAUUUCUCAAUUAGAAAUGAAUCAAAUAAUAAUAAUUGCAUUAAAAUUUUAUAUGAACAAAAUCAAUUGUAAUAUUAGUAGACUGAUUAAAAUUCGAAGGAUCCAUUUUGUAUUAACUGCAGUUUGGGACGCUUCCGACAAUUGUUAGAAUACUUUGUUGUAAUAAAGAACAAACUGGAAAAUACCACUGUUAAAUUAUGAUUCUUGUUAAGAGAUACGUAAAAAGUAGUCAAAAAUUUUAAGAAUUAUAUCUAUAAUUCUUUUAUACUCUAUAUUUCUUGAUUUCAAUGUUCUGCAAACAGUUCAUUUUAAAAGGGUGUAAAAAACACACAGAAUGAUUGAGCUAUUGAAAAAAGGAGUAGUGCAAGUCAUACUAAUAAAGAUGACUUAAUUUUUCAACUCACUUAUAGAAAAUUUUCCCAAACGAUUAUAUGAAUGUUUUAUUCGACUGUUUAUAUAUUGGAGAUAUCUAUCGAUGAUACUAGUUUCGAUAAAAUAAUACCUAAAAAUAUUCCAACGCAGUUUGUUACAGAAAUAUCCAUGUUCCUGUUAAUUAUCAUUAUCAUAGCAAAGUAUUUUUGCGAGUUUUGAUCGCGCUAAUCAUUCCUAUCCAUUGUGAAGAAAAGAUGAAAACGAUAUUAGAGGAAAUUUGCAUAAGGACAAUAAGUUUAAACAGUGUUGAAUGUUCGUUCAUAGUAUUGAUACAACUAACGCAAGAGCAUGUGUUAUACAUAUCUGAAUAUAUAUUCGCAAUCCACUUGUUUUAUAGGAUAUUUUAAACGUAAAUAUGUAAGUUGUUACUGAUAGUUUAUUUCUGACUUUUUAAUAUUACGAAGAAAUUGAUCAGUUUCUGAUUUUCUACCGCUUUGUAUCUAAGGGAGGUUCCUUGAACGACCAUUUUUUUGUUUAUAAUCGAAAUUACGAAAUAUUAUUGAAAAUUCUACGUACUUUUUUGAACUGUCGUUGAUUGCAAAAGUACGUUUUUAUAGUCUGAAAAUAUUUGCAGUAUUCUGUAGAAUUUCUAGGCAAUAUGCAAAUUUGUAAAUUGAAUUUAGAGUCUUGGAAUUAAAAUUAAGAAAAGGGAUGAAGAUUUAAUGUUUCAUUUGAUUAUUUUCUAAUAAAAGUACAUGUCAAUUCAAACUGAUGUGAGAUAUAAAUGGAAUUUAAUUUGUAACUUAUAAUAUUCUCGUAAGGAAAUUAUUAACCAGAUAAAGCAUAUUGCCGAGAGAUUAUACUUGGAUUUCAUUUUAGGUAAAAUGGCUAUGUUUAGAUAAAGUACAUCGUGUAUUUGCGUUUAAAUAUUUAUUAGUGGUGCAUAUAAAGCAUAAAUAUUCCACUAUCUUGUGGACUUUAUCUACUUUUAUAUACGAUGUACUAUUAUUAUUAUAUGGUACACCAAACCUGUGCAUUUACAAAACAACGUUAUAUCAUUUCAGCUGGUACGAAGUCAUCGUUUCUUAUCUCAAAUAAAUCGAUAUUUUUGUUAUUUUCGAAUAAAAUUAAAAUUAAAAAAAAAAUUGAAACAUUGCUUCAAAUGUUUAUUUCCUAUUUCAGAUCAAAUUUGCCCAGGUUUGCGAAAUGCCAUAGCGUUUACUAUCUUCUUAUUAAUUUAAUCCUUAUCUCUGAAAUAUCUCCUCGAUAAUGUUAUGUUGUUCUUUCAUGCAAUCAAAAUUAGCAAUUAAGUGCCCGAGUCUGUUAGAACCUGUCGUACCAGGUUAUUAAACAGGAUUAAGAACAAUACCAAUGUUAUACCAUAUGAACGCGAUAAGUAUAUGAAUGUUGUAUUGAAAAGACGAUGCUUUGUGCUCCGUCCAUAAUAAACUGUGUAAUUCAAAAUAA